GGGCGUGUAGCUCAGUUGGGAGAGCGUCGCCCUUACAAGGCGAAUGUCGGGAGUUCGAACCUCUCCACGCCCA
rfam:Neptunomonas antarctica strain DSM 22306 genome assembly, contig: Ga0111702_102